AAAGAUCAAUGUAGGAGGGUAGGGACUCUUCGCGCAAAUAUCCCUUUUCCGUAGAAAACACGUGAAUCCUGAGGACACCGGGUCAGGUUGAAGCGGGUCCUCGGGUCAUGCCAUUAUACGGCACCGUUCUGGAGCCACUAAAGCAGGCCCUAAACGGUGUCGUUUCAUGCCCUCUAUAAAAGCAAAACAAACCUUAAAAUGAACACUUAAGCAUUCUAAAAAAUCAAAAAAAGAAAAAAGAACCCUAAGCCUCUAUUUCACUUUCGGCCGCAUCAUAAGCACACCGCCCCCAACCACCAUUUCGCCACCGACCCUAUUUGAAUCCCCAUCCGAGCUUCGACUUCAACGAAGCAAACAAGGAUUCGAAGGCCACUAAAAGGUAAGUCCCUUCCCUUUUAUAAAUUUUUACAUGCAGUGGAAAAAGAUUGAGGAAAUAGAAACAAAAAUCAACGAAGAACGGGAUCUAAAAUCACCUUUAAAAAACUGAUUUCGAAUUGAUUUCUAUUCUUUCAAUAUAUGCCCCCCUUUUCUUUGUUUACAAUCGGCCUUAUAUAGCCGAAACAAAAAAAUACGAAAUUACAAUAUCAUUUUUUUUCGUUAUUUCUCUGUUGUUUUUGUCGUUUUUUUUUUCUUCUCGCAGGUUCUACUGAUGCGGGGAGUGUCGUACGGAGGAGAAGCCAUUCAGUGACGUGGAGGCCUGCUUCCAGGCUAGCAAGUUGCAGCGCAAAGGGAAAGAAGCUCUUAGGGUUUCUGCUCACAAAUGUCUUGGGCCGUUUGGGCCUUAUAUUUCUUUUGGGCUAGGUCUAGCUAGGGUUUGCUGAAUGGUUUUUAGGUUUUAGGCUGGCAUUUGGGUUAUUCGUUUGGUUUGACGUUGGGUUUAUUUUUGGUUUGGGCCUCAAGACUUGGGUUUGUAUCUAAAUAUAUCACAUAAACAAUACUAAAUGCACUACAAUUAUUUAUCAUGAUUUUUGUCAUCAAUUAUGAAUUAGUGUCGAGUUGACUUAUGAUACAAACUCAAUAAAUAUUAUUGAUACAUACAAUUGAUAUAUACAAUUGAAAGAAAUAAUAAAUUGUGCAUAUUAAAAUAAAUAUAUAUAAAAUACUUUAGUUAAGUAGUAAAUUUAUUUUU
rnacentral:lncRNA from 1 species